ensembl:lncRNA
GGGCAGGGACACCUUCCCCUAGGUCAGAUUUAUGCUUCUUAGAAGGAGACAGCCCAGGGUAUUUCUGGCAUGUUGGUGCUUUACUGAAGCAUCAAGAGCAUCUUGUUAAAAAUGUACUGGAGUAGAGUCUAUUAUAUAAAUUUUAACCCAAUUUUCAAGUUAUGUUGUUACUGCCUACCCUUCAGCACAAUAUUCUGUGAGUUUAGAGAAAAAUGUAAUUAGAGAGGUCAAGAUAUAGUUCUUUCAAUUAAUAGUGUCCUUUACAAAUAACAUAGUAUUUCUCAGUAGUUUGUUUCCUUAUGAGUUUCACUAUGAAAGGCAAACACAUUUUAGGUUACCUCAUACUCAUAAAUAGCAGAAUAUCCACUGAAAUAUUUUUUUUCUGUUUUUUAGUGAGAAGAUUUUUUUUUAUAUUGUCACAAUGACUAAAGACACAAUAAUACAGAAAACGUGAUUUCUUCUUAGGUGUUUGCCUUUGUGUUUCUUGCUGUUGUUUUUAAUAAUUUCACAAGAUUGCUAGAUGAAUAUUUUCACAAAUUUGCAACUAAGUGUUUUGGCAACUUAUCCAAGUUACCUGUAGGUGGAAUUCUUAAUUCAGCUUCAGCUACUUUGUGUGAAUAGAUGGGCAGAGAUGCUAAUAUAUGAAAAUGAAGAUGGUGGGUGUUCCAGUGUAUAUGUAUGUAUACAUAUCCCUACACAAUGCAAUAGUAAAACUAGUGCUGAUUUUGAUAAGGCCAUAGUCAAGAGCAAUGAUAACCACAGCAAUAAUUCAUAUUAGGGCCAGUAGCAACAGGAAGGUUCAUAAGCAAGUGCCUUACCACCUCCUGUUUGAAUUAAGUAUGGAAUUUUGCAUUUCCAUAGAACAAUAUGAGUCCCCAUGGGACUCAGUUAACAGUGAAUCCUAUAACUGCAAAAUCUGGGGUGACUCCUUUAAUGUAAUGAUGUAAUAAUGUAAAUCCAUCUCACUGGUGGGAUUAAUUUCUAUGGAACUCCUGCAAGAUAAACAGGCUCUUCCACAAUUCCUUUGGCCUACACAGAAAGGCUGUUGCAUUUGUCAUUGCCUCUCACUUCAGCAGGAAGCUUGAUGGGUUUGUGUAUACGCAUGUAUAUGCUUAGUUUCUCAAAUUGCAGACUUUGCUAUUUAAAAAUCCAAAUGGUUGAUCCGAGAGGCUCAGGUUUAGUUAAAUCUAACAUUACACGGACAAACAACAGUGCUCUUUGCACCUAUUACUUGACUUUCUAAAGCAAAACCUCUAUAAGACCUAAUGCCUCAAAAACAAAAUGCUGGACAUUGAUAGGGCUGGAUACUACGCUACCUACUUUGAACACUGUGCAAUAAAAUGUACUACUAUGGUGCUGUGGCAGAAUUUUGUCCACCUUUUAUAUUGUUUUGUUGGGUUUUUUUUUUCUUUUAACUUGCAUAGACAAAUGAGUAGUAUAAGCUGUAGGAAAUAAUUCUCGUGGUGUAGGCUUGACAGACAAUUUAUAGGCAAUUUCUAUUGAUUGGUUUUAUCUGUGGCAUUACCACAUUUUUCAAAUCUGCACCUUCAGAAUAUAUAUUAGAAAAACGUGAUAAACUGUUUUUAUAAAGCCAUUAUUCUCAGUGAAAGCAGGAUUCUGCCUGAAAUGUUUUCCUUAUCCUGAUGGGUAUACUUGCCUAAUAUACUUGUUUACUUCAGGAGACUUAAAAAUACAUGUUUUUUUAAAUCAUUAUAGAUCCAAAAUUAUACUGGAACAUGUUAAUCACUUAUGCUGAGUCCGCCUUCUAAGCUGCUUUUUAUAGGAGAUCUUUGUCCUUUUAUACUUGUAAUUUACUUUUUGAUCUUUUGUCAUUGGAGAGAUUUUAGCAUAUUGAGGAAAAAAAGUAACACUGCAUACCCUGCUUGCUGACGUAAGAUGCUGCCCAAGUCCUUCAAAGUGAUUCAGCUGAUAAGUAUGUCCCGUGACUCACACCUCCUAAAGAACCUUUCUCAAACAGCAGAGACAGCAUCUGCUCUGAGGGGACCAAAGUAAUUUAAUAUGCUUUGGUCAGACCCUGCCUUGCUGGAGUGCAGGGAAUCUGAGGUGUCACGGCCAAGCCUGAACCUCCCACCUGUCUCUGUGCACUCACACAGUGAUGUCCCCAGGCAUCACCACACUUGGCACUCAUGCUAGCAACACAGAAUUGUUAGCAUGGUCAUGAUGCAAAAACUAUUUCUCUGCUCUUUACGUGAUGCCAGAGUGGAGAGGAUAGAGCUCUCCCCCUCCUUCCCCUGUCUGAAAAGAUUUUUUCCUUCCCUACUACAGCCAUCCGUAUUUAGCAAAUUCAGGAUGUAACUUUAGAAAAAAAUUGCUUUAAUAUAAAAUAAUCAUUUUCUUUUUAGCAUAGAGGAAACUUGGCAUUUACCCUCAAGAGAAAUAAGCACAGCCAUCUUGUCUGGCUGAACAAUGUCAUGGAGAUUUUUCUCACAGGGGGAAAAAUUCAUUGCUUUAUGAAUUAUGACAUCAUAUAUUGUCAUAAAACGUGAGCUUCCCAAUUAGACAGGAUCAUGAGAUUGGAGAUUGUCUUCCUUUUUUUGGUAAGAUGCUAGCUAAGAUUAUAUUAUGUAGACAACCUUUCUUACGCAUCUUGUAAUAUGCUGUGAAAAUAUGGGUCUGCCAAGUGGUUCUUCUGUGGUGUCAUACUGUAUGUGUAUAUAAAUGUAUAUAUAUGCACACAUACAAAUAGUAUAAUUAAAGGAGUAUUUUUACUUUUUUAAAGGUUAUCCUUUCAUCACUUACACAAAUCUAAGUUAGGAGCAAUACAAAUUAUUGCAGUGUGAAGCAAAAUUGCUCAAUGUGACAAAAUCACUUGAUCCACACUACAUGCUUUUUUUUCUCUCUUUUAAAAAUAUGUGUAGAUAAAAACCCCAGUGUCUUCCUAGAAAGAAUAGGCAAUAUGUCUUCCUAGAAAGAAUAGGCAAUAAAAUGGUUGGUAAGAGAAUGUAAACCAAGACUCCGUGGGUUGGAUGGAGGAUGGGAUGGGAUUUUGACGCCAUGACUUAAAACUACAAUGCUGAAUUAGAACUUUAGUUCUAAUUUAAGUUAGAAAAUUAGAAGGGGUUCAGUAGAUUUUUGUGAUGUAUUUGAAUCAGAAAUGUAUCAUAAUGAGUGUAAGACACUGGAUAUAGCUUUUGGCAUUUAAAAUUUAGACCUACCCAGCUUCCAGGUAUUCUCUAUCUUGGGCUACUUUGUGAAAUUUUACAGCCAGACCUACUGCAUAGCUAAAUCUAGAUCCCAUUCUGUCUACUGGCAUUAAUUCAGUUUUUGGAGUAUCCAGUCUGAGGGUAAACUAUUUUCUUUCCAAAUGAGGUGUCUGUGUUUAUUUUCAACUGCCUUGCUUUAUGUUUUAGUGGCAAUAUUUCAACAGCUAAUUAUUCUUCUUUAUUUUCCUGCUGUCAUUACUAUCAGGGUUUGGGUUUUUUUAAAGCUUUUAACUAAAACUGGUUUAAAAAGUGUUGGGAAGUCUUCUCUUCCCGUAUACUAAAGGGAAAUGUGAAUUAUCAAUCAAGCCAGUAUUUUUUUUUUAAACACUGUCUAUUUUAUACUGAAAAUACAUAUAAGAUUUUAUGCAAUAGCAGAGUAGAAAAAUACAAGGAAUUGUUGCUAGAGAAUUUAGGUGAGAUUUUGUUUGGUCUAGUUCUUCUGUAAGAAAAAUCCAUUUGCUUGUUUUCCUUUCAUUACAGCUUUUGAAAAAAAAAAAAUGUUUUCUCUAUAACUUCCCUUUGCUAUUACAUGCUCUGAUGACAUUAGUUGGCAACCUGGAUACCUUGGGAAAUAUUCCCAUGUUUGUAUAGAUAGAUGGUAGUACUUCCCAAAGUAGUAAUAGAUGUCUUCUGUCUAACUUCAUUUCAUUGUGGAUAUAAUUGUUCACUUGUUUUGUACAGUUUUGGUUUUGGUGCAGCUACAGAUACAGAGGUCAGCAGAUUAGAAAAAAAAAAGUAAAUACAUACAUACUUUUCUUAAAAGAGUAGUGCAGAGUGGCAGAGCAGUCCUGAAGAAUCUGCAGAAAGAUGUUAGGAAAAAAAAAAAAGUUAUUUAAAAAAAAACUGACUUGCCUCUGAGCAUCCCUUAAUAAGGGAGAAAAAUAAGUAGCUUCUGUGUCCUGCAACUGUAUUCCCAUGAGUAGAAAAUCCUAUUCUAAUGGUCAAGAGUGCACAGAGGUAUUUUUGCAAAAUCACCUCUAAGUGACUGAAUUCUAUUUAAAGAUGUCAGGAUUAGUAUUGAGAAUGAAAUGCACAAAGAAUUUUUUUUUUUCAAGUAACUGUAAUGAAUUUUUUUCCUUUCAGUUACAUCUUCCAACCCAGCACUGUCAGGGCUUUUUUUUGGAUCAGUACCAAAUGCACGAGUUAAAGCACUGUGUCCUUCUCCUGCAGAAUUCCAUCACCAUUAUGUACCAUUUGUGAUUUCUAGUAUGAGCAGUUCAUCUACAGUACAUGGCCUCAUCAAAAGCUUCACCUUAAAGAGCUUAACUUGUGUUUUAUGUCAGAUUCUGAAGAAUUAAUCAUAUACAUAAGUCCUAUCAUUGAAGUGCCUGCAAAAGAAUUGAUUUUGAUAACAGACUCUGCGAUAGACUAUGACAUUUCUCAUCACAAAGAAGUGUCACCAAAUCGUGUAGAGUCCUUUCCCUGCAUGGUCACUGGAAAUAGUAUGCUGUUACUACCUUAUUUUAAUGUGAGUUUUCAUCCAUUAUUGUCUUUCUGUCUGAAACAUCCUCCAUGCUGUUUUUCUCCCUCUUAGGAACAAAAUGGUGAUGAAUAGGAUAUCCCAGGUAUAUUUCUGAAACCCUCUACAGAUACUGCCAUUUUUAUUUAUAGGUGCUUGGCUGUUACUUAUCCUAAUUCCUCUGAGAUCUUUAUGACUGUUUAUAUUUAAAUCUUCCAGAUUUUGUGCAUAUGUCUUUUUGUUGAAAACCUGUUUUAUAACCUUCUUGCAUUUCCUCAGUUGUCAUUAACUACUGAUUUAAUGAUGCUAUUCAGGUACAACAUUUAAUUUAUAUAAAACCUCGGGGCAUAUACAGUGUUUUACAAAUAAUAUAAUGUUUAUGGUACUCUAAAGUGAAGAUUUAAGCAUGCAAGUUAGGAUGCUAAGGAUAAGAGAUGACAAAUUAAGAAAUUUAUAGGAAAAAUAAAGUGUGAGACAUGGCAGACCAGUUGUUGAUGUGAAUAUGUAUUCUGCUUAUUCUGCUUUGUGUUUAAUACUAAGACUUUAAUAUUUGAUUCUAAUUUGUCUUAAGGAAAACUGGAGUAAGGUAUAGAAAAACAAUAUUGUGACUUCCAUCUGGAGAUUUUUAUUUCAACUAAAUGAAUUUUAACUUUGAUUGUGAUAACUGAGGAAAAUAAAACUUUUUCCUCUGAGCAUCUUAUGCUAUGGAUUUUAUUUAGCAUAGUUGCUAAAUAUUAACAAUAUUAACACCUAUUAACAGCAUAGGUGCUGCUUAAAAUAUUUCAUUUAUUUCUUUUUGGAAGCUCAUCCUUCAGAGACACAUGCAGCUGCAAACAUAAAAUGCUUGUUUUGCAAGUGCCUAGAACUUGCUGAAUCAUUCUGUCUUUGCCAAAUAAGUAAUUUUUUAUGUUUCUACUCUGAACUUGAGGAGGUAGUACAUUCUGAUAGGGUUUGAGUUCUGAAAUGAAUCUAUGAUACCUAGAUGCAUGAAAAUUAAUCCUUAAAUUAGUUUCUUCCCACAACUUAGCUUAGAAGCUUCUAUGUUGUCUGCAAUAUGGAUUGCCCUUUGUGUUGUUUUACAUGUUAGUGAUUGUUAUAAAUGCUAGUAGGAACCACAAAAUUUAAACUUUCUGUGUUUAAAAACUUUCCAGCUCCAUUUGUCUGUGUGCUCAUGUUCAGUCAGCCAUGUGACGUGUCUUAUUUCAGAUACAUUCAAUUGUAGUCAGGCCUGUAAUUUCCAUGCUUAUUUGGAGACUUUAUUGAAUAAAUUAUGUAGCGUUCACUAAACAUGGAGUUAAUCUUUCUGUUGUUCCUUCAAGUUGAUUCAGACUUGAAACCUGCUUUAAUCAUGGUAUUCUUUAGAGGAGUUGUUGAUAGAAGUUAUAGAUAAUGUGCUGCCAUUCCUCUUGGAUGGCAGCCAUUUAGCUGUCUAUCUAACCUAAAUGUCACUUUGGGAAAAGUAAGUUCAGCUCACAUAAACAAAAAGGUGUUGUACAAACUCAAAAACUUGUGUAUUCUGCUUCAUAAUCUGCAUCACGUUCACUUCAAAACUACUUCUAACCUGAUCUCUAAUAAAAUAAUGAUCAUCGUGUUAGGAAGAAUAAUUUCUAUCUUUGGGUUACAGUAUGUAAAGCUGCAGAAAAGGUCUAUUGUUAUUUCCUUAAAAUGCCUGCAUUCACAAUUUGGAUGGAAAUGUACUUUUGCACAAGUAAGCCAUAUGUAAUAGUGCAGGGUUGGAUGACUGUCAGUUUUUAUAUAAAGGACCUCAAUAAACACAAGUCCUUUUUGAAACGGAAAAUGUCCUGGCACAGAAUUCAAGAGAUUUCCUGCUUCCAGACACCAGAUUUAAAGGCAGAGUGAUCCAUAUAUGAAAUAAUAGAUAAUAAAAACAGUACAAAGACUAGGACUGGGCCAUUAAUUCUCCCAAAAUGUAAACAUUCAUAUGUAGGAGUGAUAACAGUAAGCAAUUGGAAAUUGUAGCUUUUCCCGUACCCUUCUUUCUGUCCAUUUCUCCAUUUCAGUCUUUUUCAGGAAAAAAUAAAAAUAGAAAAGACAAUAAUCCAUUUUCUUAUGCUGGAAAAAAAUAUAAUAAAAUAGACCACCAUCUCACUUCAGACACCAGACAUGGCCUAUAAAAGCAGAUCAGUUUGGUGAAAGCAUUCUGCAUAGUUUUUUACAAUGAAUGGUCUUAAUUUUUUUAUUGUUUGAUGUUCCUAGUAUUAAACAGGGAAAAUCUCUUAUAGGCCAUUUAUCAGAUUUUACUCCACAUGCCUUUGUCAAUUAAGAUUUCCCUGGUGAUUUCCAAGUCCCAUAAAAAGAUUUUUACAAAGGAAAAAGGUUAACUGGCAUAAAGAUAUUUGAGAUUCCCUACUUACAGGACUAUCUAUGCCACUAAGGACUGGCAGCAUAACAGUCUUCUGGGACAUCUGCCGAGUUUAUUUUUCAGUCACUGUGAAAUGAGAUAGGAGGAGACAGAAGAACAAGGCUUCAAAUGCACAAAGGCUAAAAUAUGUCUAGGAUACAAAAGUGGUAUCCUAGCAAAAAUAAAAAUAAAAAAAAUAAAUAAAAAA